GGAUUAGCUCAGUUGGUUAGAGCAUGGUGCUAAUAACACCAAGGUUGUGGAUUUGAUCCCCAUUUGGGCCA
rnacentral:tRNA from 1 species